GACGAACGCUGGCGGCGUGCUUAACACAUGCAAGUCGAACGAUGAAGAAAAGAAUUGAAGCUUCGGCAGAAAUUCAUUUCGGAUUAGUGGCGGACGGGUGAGUAACGCGUGAGCAACCUACCUCUUACAAAGGGAUAGCCUCGGGAAACCGGGAUUAAUACCAUAUAACAUUGCGACGAAGCAUUUCGAUGCAAUCAAAGCUACGGCGGUAAGAGAUGGGCUCGCGUCCCAUUAACCAGAUGGUGAGGUAACGGCUCACCAUAGUAACGAUGGGUAACCGGCCUGAGAGGGUGAACGGUCACACUGGAACUGAGACACGGUCCAGACUCCUACGGGAGGCAGCAGUGGGGAAUAUUGCACAAUGGAGGGAACUCUGAUGCAGCGACGCCGCGUGAGUGAUGAAGGAAUUCGUUUCGUAAAACUCUGUUCUAUGGGAAGAAAAGGACUGUACCAUAGGAGAAAGCUCCGGCUAACUACGUG
rnacentral:rRNA from 1 species